GAGCGGACGGCGCUUCGCCCGCACAUCUCCAAUUGAAGCAGCUAUUACAGAGCCGGAGCCUCUGCGCGGACUCGGUCGCAUCCUCCUCCCUCGCCGCCAACGCUGCGAUCGGGUAUGAUUUCUCGACCGGAGGGGAAAAGAGAUGAAUAACCGUGCUGAGAGCUGCUCAGGAAGCUAACACGGAGAAAUGCUUCGGAGACGCCGCAUCUUUCCUGCCGACUUUGUUUAAACUCUCCGUUCAUCAGCCCCGCGGAAAGGCGAUGGGAAGAACAAAUGGAAGAGAGCGCGGAGGGAAAAGACCCGAGCCGCUUUCCAUUUUUAUUAAGUAAAAUAAUAGUUAUGCCUCCCCUAC